UGGGGAAUAUUGGACAAUGGGGGCAACCCUGAUCCAGCCAUGCCGCGUGCGUGAAGAAGGCCCUAGGGUUGUCUUGACGUUACCUUUACAAGAAGCACCGCCUAACUCCGUGCCAGCAGCCGCGGUAAGACGGAGGGCGCUAGCGUUGUUCGGAAUCACUGGGCGUAAAGGGCGCGUAGGCGGCUGUUUAAGUCGAGGGUGAAAGCCCGGGGCUCAACCCCGGAACGGCCUUCGAGACUGGGCAGCUCGAGACCGGAAGAGGAGGGUGGAAUACCCAGUGUAGAGGUGAAAUUCGUAGAUAUUGGGUGGAACACCAGUGGCGAAAGCGGCUCUCUGGUCCGGAUCUGACGCUGAGGCGCGAAAGCGUGGGGAGCAAACAGGAUUAGAUACCCCGGUAGUCC
rnacentral:rRNA from 1 species